rnacentral:rRNA from 1 species
UGGGGAAUAUUGCACAAUGGGCGGAAGCCUGAUGCAGCAACGCCGCGUGCGGGAUGAAGGCCUUCGGGUUGUAAACCGCUUUCACCCACGACGAAUUUGACGGUAGUGGGAGAAGAAGCACCGGCUAACUACGUGCCAGCAGCCGCGGUGAUACGUAGGGUGCGAGCGUUGUCCGGAUUUAUUGGGCGUAAAGAGCUCGUAGGCGGUUAUUUGCGUCGGAAGUGAAAACUUGGGGCUCAACCCUGAGCUUGCUUUCGAUACGGGAUGACUUGAGGAAGGUAGGGGAGAACGGAAUUCCUGGUGGAGCGGUGGAAUGCGCAGAUAUCAGGAGGAACACCGGUGGCGAAGGCGGUUCUCUGGACCUUUCCUGACGCUGAGGAGCGAAAGCGUGGGGAGCAAACA